rnacentral:rRNA from 1 species
UACGUAGGGCGCAAGCGUUGUCCGGAAUUAUUGGGCGUAAAGAGCUCGUAGGCGGCCUGUUACGUCUGCUGUGAAAUCCCGGGGCUUAACCCCGGGCGUGCAGUGGAUACGGGCAGGCUGGAGGCAGGCAGGGGAGAACGGAAUUCCCGGUGUAGCGGUGAAAUGCGCAGAUAUCGGGAGGAACACCGGUGGCGAAGGCGGUUCUCUGGGCAGUAACUGACGCUGAGGAGCGAAAGCGUGGGGAGCGAACAGG